rnacentral:miRNA from 1 species
AUAUGUGUGUGUGUGUAUAUGUGUGUACUCACACUUGUAUGUGCAUGUAUAUAUGUAUAUGUAUGUAUGUAUGUAUACACACACACACACACACACACACAUAUAUAAAC